GGUUCAUAGUUUAAUGGUAAAAUGCUGGUCUCCAAAACCAGAGUUAUAGGUUCGAUUCCUAUUGAAUCU
rnacentral:tRNA from 1 species